AACCAUGCCCUUCGGGGCUCCUUGGUGAUUCAUAAUAACUUAACGAAUCGCAUGGCCUUGCGCCGGCGAUGGUUCAUUCAAAUUUCUGCCCUAUCAACUUUCGAUGGUACAGUAGUGGUCUACCAUGGUUUUAACGGGUAACGGGGAAUUAGGGUUCUAUUCCGGAGAGGGAGCCUGAGAAACGGCUACCACAUCCAAGGAAGGCAGCAGGCGCGCAAAUUACCCAAUCCCAAUUCGGGGAGGUAGUGACAAUAAAUACUGAUACAGGGCUCUUUCGGGUCUUGUAAUUGGAAUGAGAACAAUUUAAAUCCCUUAACGAGGAACAAUUGGAGGGCAAGUCUGGUGCCAGCAGCCGCGGUAAUUCCAGCUCCAAUAGCGUAUAUUAAAGUUGUUGCAGUUAAAAAGCUCGUAGUUGAACCUUGGGCCUGACCGAUCUGUCCUCCUAAUCGAGCGCACGGAUUCGGUUGGGUCUUUCCUUCUGGGGAGCCCUAUGCCCUUCACUGGGCGUAGCGGGGAACCAGGACUUUUAC
rnacentral:rRNA from 1 species